GGCUUUGUAGUAUAUGGUAUCACGCGCCCCUGAUAUGGGUGAAACGCCGGUUCAACUCCCGUCUGAGGCCG